CGCUGGCGGCAUGCCUAACACAUGCAAGUCGAACGGUAACAGUCCUUCGGGAGCUGACGAGUGGCGCACGGGUGAGUAACGCGUGGAUAUCUGCCUAUGAGUGGGGGACAACUUUCGGAAACGAAAGCUAAUACCGCAUAAUCUCUACGGAGCAAAGCAGGGGACCUUUCGGGGCCUUGUGCUUAUAGAUGAGUCCGCGUCAGAUUAGCUAGUUGGUGGGGUAAGAGCCUACCAAGGCGAUGAUCUGUAGCUGGUUUGAGAGGAUGAUCAGUCACACUGGAACUGAGACACGGUCCAGACUCCUACGGGAGGCAGCAGUGGGGAAUUUUGCACAAUGGGGGAAACCCUGAUGCAGCGAUGCCGCGUGUGGGAAGAAGGCCUUUGGGUUGUAAACCACUUUCAAUUGGGAAGAAGGGAUGAGGAUUAAUAAUCCUCUGACUUGACGGUACCUUUAGAAGAAGCACCGGCUAAUUUCGUGCCAGCAGCCGCGGUAAUACGAAAGGUGCAAGCGUUGUUCGGAUUUACUGGGCGUAAAGAGAUCGUAGGUGGUUUGUUAAGUUGGAUGUGAAAUCCCGGGGCUCAACCUCGGAACUGCAUCCAAAACUGGCAGACUUGAGUUCGGGAGGGGUAAGCGGAAUUCCGUGUGUAGCAGUGAAAUGCGUAGAUAUACGGAGGAACACCUGAGGCGAAAGCGGCUUACUGGACCGAUACUGACACUGAGGAUCGAAAGCGUGGGUAGCAAACA
rnacentral:rRNA from 1 species